rnacentral:rRNA from 1 species
CCUACGGGGGACAGCAGUGAGGAAUAUUGGUCAAUGGUCGGGAGACUGAACCAGCCAAGCAGCGUGAAGGAGGAAGGUACAACGUAUCGUAAACCUCUUUUGUCAAGGAAUAAAGACUGGGACGCGUCCCCGGAUGAGUGUACCUGAAGAAAAAGCAUCGGCUAACUCCGUGCCAGCAGCCGCGGUAAUACGGAGGAUGCGAGCGUUAUCCGGAUUUAUUGGGCGUAAAGGGAACGCAGGCGGUCUUUUAAGUCUGUUGUGAAAGUCUGCGGCUUAACCGGAGAAUUGCAAUUGAUACUGGCAGACUUGAGUGCAGAUGAGGUGGGCGGAAUUCGAUGUGUAGCGGUGAAAUGCUUAGAUAUAUCGAAGAACUCCAGUGGCGAAGGCAGCUUUCUAGUCUGCAACUGACGUUGAUGCUCGAAAGCGUGGGUAGCAAACAGGAUUAGAUACCCCAGUAGUC